AUUGAACGCUGGCGGCAGGCCUAACACAUGCAAGUCGCGCGGAGCGGCGGACGGGCGAGUAAUGCCUAGGAAUCUGCCUGUUCGUGGGGGAUAACGUCCGACAACGGGCGCUAAUACCGCAUACUAUCUGAUGCGCCUAGGUCGGGUUGGCUAGCGGGGGGGGUAAAGGCCUACCAAGGCGACGAUCCGUACCUGGUCGGAGAGGAUGAUCAGUCACACUGGAACGGAGACACGGUCCAGACUCCUACGGGAGGCAGCAGUGGGGAAUAUUGGACAAUGGGCGAAAGCCUGAUGCAGCCAUGCCGCGUGUGUGAAGAAGGUCUUCGGAUUGUAAAGUACUUUCAGUUGGGAGGCGUUACCAACAGAAGAAGCACCGGCUAACUUCGUGCCAGCAGCCGCGGUAAUAC
rnacentral:rRNA from 1 species